GGGGGCACGGCCCCAGCCUGGAGGAGCCGUGGGCUCCCACUGGUUUUGGGGGAGCGGUGUCAGCCGGACGCCCACGCGGCAGCCUCGGGAUCCGCCCGGUGCUCAUUCAGGAGCUGCAGCUUCUCCGCCACGCAGACGGAGCUCAGAGCAUCCCUCUCGUAGCUCCCCUCCCUGGCUCACUUCCAGCCUCUCCCGGUUAUUACUGUAGGGGGAGCGGUGUCAGCCGGACGCCCCCGCGGCAGCCUCGGGAUCCGCCCGGUGCUCAUUCAGGAGCUGCAGCUUCUCCGCCACGCAGACGGAGCUCAGAGCAUCCCUCUCGUAGCUCCCCUCCCUGGCUCACUUCCAGCCUCUCCCGGUUAUUACUGUAGCAUCCAGCAUGUUUUACUUCAUAUUCAUCUCUCUUGCACAUACCGGCCCACUCAUGUAUUAGAUCCGAAUCCUUUUUUUUUUUUUUUUUUUUUUUUUGUUCCCUUUUUUUUUUCCGGCUUGUUGCUCGACGGAGCGGUGAGGCACGACACGCCGCGUGUUGUGACACAUCCUGACAGGUCUCGGCGUGCUGGGCUCGGAGCAGCCAUCUCCUCUGUGUCCUGCUCCCCGCUGGCUCCCAGUAGCAGCCACCUCCAGGGAGGCAGAGGAGAGAGCUGGAUGUGGAGUGGAAGUGUCUUGGCUUUUAAUGUGCCUCUUUGCCAAAAGCAGGGGAAAGGCAAGGAAAAACGCAGCUGCUUGAUAUUCCCCAAAGCCUUGCUUGCACUCUUCCUGGAUAAUGUUUUGGCCUUUUGUUCUCACAGGUGGCUGUGCUCGCUGAAGGUGGCUCCACAGGGCAGUGCUGGAUGCCCUGCUGUGUCGGUAGCACUGACAGGUGAAGGGCCAGAAACAGGGCUCUAGGCAGUUCUGCAGCCAUGCUGGGGAAGAGGCCAGAUGUGUCACCUGCUGCUGACCCUGCUCCUGACCCCAUGAGGUGCAACUGAAAUGCCUGCCAAAGGUGCCUUGUUUUAUAUUCAUGAGCUACAUCUUGACUUUCAGAAGCGUUGUGCCAUAUUUCAGUCUCCUGAUCUCAG
rnacentral:lncRNA from 12 species